GUCUACAUCCAUGCCAUCCUGAACAAGCCGGAUCCCGUCUGAUCUCAGCAGCUAAGCAGGGUCAGGCCUGGUUAGUACUUGGAUGGGAGACUACCUAGGAAUACCAGGUGCUGUAGGUG
rnacentral:rRNA from 1 species